GUUGCUGCAAAAGUACAAUGUUGAGGAAGAUCUGACAGAUCUAGCUCCUCCUCCUCCGCUCUCCUCUUCUCUCUCCCUAUUUUCUAGAUUACAACUAGAACUAGAACUAGAUGAGCUAGAGGGAUCCUCUCUACUUGGAUGAAGAAUUGAAACCCUAACUUUGAUUCUGUAGAAGAGGUAUGAUCUCCAGGGGCCAGGGGGCCUUGCUUAUAUAGUCUUUUCAGAUGAAUCUGGGCCGUCGGAUCAAAACGACAUUAAUCGCACGGUUUUCCUUGAUCCCUUAGGUUGGUGGAGCACGAUCCGCGAAAAGGACUCUGAUUGGGCACUGUAGCAGGGCAGGCGCCCAGGAGAGUAGGGCGGGCGCCCUGCCUCCGAGCCCGAUUGCCUUCCCGUUCGUUCCGGUGGCUUCUGGAGUCUUCUAGAUGGUAGAAAAUUGCACGGCACGUUAAUAUCUCUAUGUAAUCCCGACAUGUGGGCCUUUCUUCCAUAUUUCCUGAUAACCCCCUGCAGAAAUAGACAAACAUCAAAACUCAUGGAAUUCUUUCAGAUAAAACCCUAAGUCUAGGUGUUGGUUGCAUAUAAGUCCUUUUCCAUGAUUAGUUGAUGGUUAAAUGUGAGCAUUGAGGACCGUCAACAAGCUCCCACAAGCUUAACCUUUGCUCGUCCCAGAGCAAAGCUAAAAUCAGCAAGAAAACAGGGGUUACUUUUAUGCCUCUUACUAGAGGGUUUUUAAGCAAAGCACUAUGUCUCAAGUUCUUUUGUCUUACCUUUGUUCUGGAGUUUUUUAUAAGUCUGCAAAAUAAAACUGAGACAUUUGCCUUCUUCUCGAAAGAUAUAUAAGUAGAGCUUUAAAAGUUUUAGCACACUUACUUUGAAUUUUGCUAUGUCAAUGCUCGGAGCAUGGGAGAGGAAUGUCAUACUCCUAGAUCAUUUGCCAAGAGGUAAACUUGGUAGUUAUCUUUUUCCUUUUAAUUAUUUAAAAUAGUUUGCGUAGUUAAUCUGGUUCAUAUCAUCUUGAAAAGAAAAUAAAAAUGUUAAAAAUAGUAAGCCUCAUGUGAGUAUGCUCAUGGCAUAAAACCCAUAAGUACAUUCACUGUGGUGGCGUAAAAAUGAAAUAAAUAUAUUCCUGUCCUAUAAAAAAUAAAAUUAUAAAAAUAGAUUUAUGAUCCUACUAAAGAGAGUAACAUUUAUUGAGGAGGCUCAACAUGAUAAAGGCUAGAUAUUUAUGCUAACACUUAACCAGUUGCACAAAGCUUUGUGGUCUAUUUGAGCUCCACAGAAUUCAAGGAUCAAAGAAGACUAGCUGACGAAGGACAUCCUAAUCGCUGUCAGGGUGCUGCUGACAUUCAAAUACACCUCUGCCACAUGCUAGCUACAUCAGAAGAAAUUACCUCAAAAUCCAGCUUGGGGGAGAGCACCCCCAUUUAUCCAGCUAAGUGUUCUACUCAUGUUUAUAUUUUACUCAAAUAAUAAAAGAUGCAUAAUCAUAAAAACCCAAAUAAAGAUUUUGUGCUUAUAUAUAUAUAUAUAUAUAUCUUUGCUUAGUUUUCUAAAUAAAUAAAUAAAUAAAGUUUGCUAUGAACCCUCAUGAUAAGCUCUCACAUGGAAAUGAUGAAUAGUUGCUCUGCCAUGACUAGUUCUCAAAAUUAAAAUCUCUCUCAAGUUUAGGCAUGACUGUUAUUAAUUAAGAAUUGCUCUAAAUCUGAACUUGUGAGAAGAGUACUGGAUCUAAAGUCUAAGUCGUUAACGGAUACGUAUGUGAAGGUUGAGCUGCUGUUUAUCUGUUCUUAGAGAUGCUAGAAUUCUGGAGAAUUUUAUCUUUGAAAAUCUUUAAAAUGUUGCAUGAUGAGUUCCUGUAUGAUGAGAGUUUAAAAUCCUACCACAGCCAUAUAUACAUGCUUAUUAGACUAUGAACCAUACAUUUACUUUUUACUGCUUAUGAGCAUUGAGUGUGGUCAAGCUAUGUAGACCCUUAGGAGCUUGUCAUGUGGUUAAAUCAAGAUUCACUUGCACGUUCACUCACACAUGCUGCUUCUACUCCAGAAGUACGGAUCCACAUAUAUCCACCCAUUUCCAUCUCCAGAACCACCCAAAAAUAUUCUACUCCUAAUCCGGUAGAGAAUAGCCAAAAACAUUCUCCUAUUUCUAUUUUCCCCUGUGAAAUAAAUGCUCAAGUUAUUUCGGUUACUACCACUUGCUACAUUAUUUAAAGAGGUGAGUGCUCUAAAAAACGAAAAUAAGAUACGAGGAAAUAAAAAGGGGCAAGUGCUCGGAAUCUCAAAAGAAAAGAAAAAAUGAGACGAGAGGUAAAAAUGUACAAGUGUCCGACAGUAGAAUUAGGGGUACAAGAUACCCACCUGAGAGAAAAGAAAAAGAAAAUAUAGAGCAUCUCAUUCUCCUCAAAAAGUUUCCAAAGAGCAAGAAAGGUAUGUAUUCCCUCAAAAGAGCAAUUAGACUUUCACCAUUGUUAUCACCAUCAUCACCAUACACCAUUUAUUCGCCACACAUGCACAUCUUGAUUUGACUUAUUGACUUGUUUCUCUGGAUCCAUUGUUUGACUAUGAAAUAAAUGUCUUGUAAGUAUGUAUUAUUUGUCUCCCACCUAUGAGCUCCAGAUAUCAAAAACCUUAUUAGAGUAGGACGAGAGAGAAGGCAAUGUCACUAUGCCUUAUACCACAAAUACUACAUACUUUGAGAGAAGGCAUAUACCAUUACUGCCUUGGUAAGGAUCCAGAAAUACCACAAAAGAG
rnacentral:lncRNA from 1 species